rnacentral:lncRNA from 1 species
AAUUAAACAAACUCUAUAUUGAGUUUAUAAUCAAAACCAACAUAUUACAUCAUUCUCUCUAGAAUGAGAGUUUAGUUGUUCAUGGAUAUAAAAUAAUAAGCACAAGGAAAAACUAAAGAAAAUAUAACUAAGAAAUGAUUAAGGCAAAUACUACUUUGAAUCACAAAAGUUAGAAUGCUUCCUUGAAUCUUGUAGCCAAAUCUUAGAUCUCCCUUUAAAAUAAUUUAUCUCCCUCUAAAAACUGUCUAAGCCUAUCAUCCUCCUUAGAAAAUACCUCUACUAAUUCAAAAAUACAUAAAAUAGGACUUAAAAUCGGAGUGCUGAAAUUGCACCCUCCGCGACCUCGCAGGGAGUCCUAUGCUCGUGGCAAUAGGUUUCUUCUUCGCAUACCGCACGACCUAGUAAAAGAGCCGCAACCUCACGGGGACUUUAUGUUUGUUGAUGUAUUUCCAACAUGUUCCUUCUUGCUUCUAGGCCCAAAACUUACUUUAAUUAAACCUAAAACUUUUUAUGUUUUGCUAAAAUUAUCUGAAAUUAUAAAUUACUCAACUAAGUAAAUAAAUUUAUGAUGAUCUUAUCCAAAUCACCAUAGAACUAACAUAAUUAACCAUAUCAGACAUUAAAAUUCUAUGCAUAAAAUGGGUGUACCAACAUCUCAUGUUUUUAUUAAGGUAAAACAGAACUUGUAUGUGUUUAUUGUAAAACUAACUAAAACUAAAUAUUAAUUAAUUAAAACUUGUAAAACUUAUAUAUGUUUCAUUAUGUAUUGAAAAAUUUUCUAACUUUUCAUAAGAUUUUCUCGAGCCAAAUGAUAUGGAUGAUGGUUUAAGACGAGGUGGUGAUGGCGGUGGGGAAGAGCUUUUUGCUUCGCACUUAAUUGCCUAAAAUUCAUAAUAUCUAAAGAGCUAGAAAUAAAAUACUAAUUAAUUAAAAUUAAAAACCAAAAAUUAAUAAUUAAAAAUACUAAAAAUUAAAUAUACAUGCUAAAUUUAUUGUCAUUAGCUAGACAUUGUGCGAAAUGUGCUCAAAUUGGUUGUGCAUUAAUACACUCCACCUCGUGGCCAUAAGUCAUUUCUCUCAAGUAUGGCUUCAACCGAUGACUAUUCAAUUGUGUCUUUAGUAUUUUAUAAUUUCACCGCACUAUGGGGAAAUAGAGUCACUACUUCGAAAGGUCCAUUCCAUCUUUGACUUUUUGUAGAAAAAGUUUGGACGCAACUUAAAUAAUAAAAUUUUUAUUCCAAGAACAAAAGAAUUAUAGAACAAACUCUUAGUACUUUCUUUAUAUACACAAUAUGCCUCACUAUGUAUCUCUUCAAAUUCAUUCAAGUGCAAUAAGUGUUUUUUUCUCAUUUUUACUCAAGUCCAUAUUUAGUUCUUUAAUAGCUCAAUAAGCUUUGUGUUCUAACUCCACAAAUAUCUGCUUAUAAGGGCAAGCACACUAGCCUAUACGGACUCAUUUCAGUUAGUAUUUAUAAGCCGUGUGAUAUGCCAAAGAACAUUAUUCAAGUGUAUUGCUCAAUCUUUCCUUGAUGGGCGAACUGAUUUCUCAAGCACUAACUUGAUUUGCCUAUUGGUUACUUCCACUUGUCCUAAUAAUUGUGAGUGAUAAGGAAUUGUCACUCUAUGAGUUACUCCAUAUUAUUUUAGUAAAGCAAUAAAUACCUUGUCACUUAGGGGCAAUUUAGCAGUUUUGUUAUUUAAGAAUUUAUAUCAGUUAUUUAUUUAUGUUAAUUAAGAGUUAUAACAAGGAAGUCUUUAGAAAAUUUAGGUUUAUACCUCAGUUACACUUUUCAUCUGCAUUUAUCAAAUGUUCCUAUCUUUACAGUUUUCUAUAUAGUUUUUCAUCACAAAUAAUUUAGUUUUAGUUUUUACUAUAUAUCGAUUUUCACUCUUCAAUCCUCAAACGCUUUGAUCUUGAAAUAAAUAAAUAUGAUCACUCUUCCUUAUCUUAAAAUCAUACUAAUUGCAUAUGUACUUUUAUUAUUUUAUUUAUUUAUUUUAUGCAUAUUAUUUCUUCAAAAUAUUUAUUUACUGUGGAGGGCUUUAUCUUCCUAAUAAUAUCAAUUCCCCAAGCCGCAAGAAGCUACGGAGACGUCAGAUUGUAAAGUUCAGUCGGGAGUAGAUGACUCAGGUCACUAUAGAGCUCAACACUCACGAUAUUUCCUUAGUAGUGCUAUACAAUCUUUUUUAUUGUUAAACCAGUAAUAACCUUGAUGCCUAAUCUUUCUAGGUUGUUAAUAUGAUGUUGUUCAUGUGAGGCUCACUCAUCCCUUUAUAUGUUUCAUUACCACUUGUACUUCUACUCUAGUCACACGCCGGAAUUGGACUCCUGAAGCCAUCCUUUUUAUAUAUAAUCCUCUAGCCUGGAUUCAAAGCGCAUACCUACCUUUCCUUCACAGUUGCUUCUUAUGAAUAUUCCAUGUCUUCUAUAAAUAAAUUUCUUCAUAUCGGAAAACCAAGAUUUCUUUUGGUUUCAUCCAGAUUUGCAUUACCAUGAUAAUGAGGCACACCUAAUUUUACAAUCACCAAAUAGGAUAGGCAGUGCAUCUAACAUCUGGUUCUCAUCUCGUGCAUCUAACAUUUGGAGAAGUUACAAACUAAAUUUUGAGAUAGCCGACAUAUUUUAACCACUCUUCUUUCAAGGCUUAUUGAAUUACUAGCAUAGAGUCUUCGUAGACCAUCAGUUGCUUUACUCAUGCUUUAAUCCAAAUAAACAUGUUUCAUACUUCAUUAUGUUAUUUGUCGUCCUAAUUUUUUAACUAUUGGCACCACCUCUCCUUUUAGGUCCCAAGGGUCGUCUCCCUUAAUUCCACUACAACCUUACCUUAAUUACUACUUUCUUGAUGACGUACUCAAUGUCUAACUCUGUCAGAAGUACCAACCAUCUAGUCAGCUUUCUAAUAAAAGAUAAAUAUUCAAACAGCGGAUAUAUUUUGAAAUUAUUUGCACCUUAUAAAACUAGAAAUAUUGUCUUAAUUUUUCUCGUAGCCUAACUUUGACUCAUAAGACAACAACUUCUUACUAAGAUAGAUCACAUUAGACCUACACUGCUCUACCAUUGCCCCCAUGCUUCUAAGGCUUCAUCAAAUACUUUUUGAUUUUGUCGAAAACUUUCUAAUAAUGCUCAUCAUACACCAUUGUCGAAAGCUUUCACUAAACCAUUGUGAGCUUGAAAAUGAAUCUUCUAAUUCCGAAUCGAUCUCUAUACUCCGUUGACUUACUAUAUACCUUAGCAGCUUUCCUAAUGUCACUCCUUGUUCGAAUUGAACCUUCGGUUACCUUUCUGCUUGUCUUAAGAACCUAUCAAGGGCCUUCAUUUUCUUGUUUUAGACUUUACCAUCAUAUCAUUCACAUAUAAUUACUACUGCUAUCAUGAUAUAAUUGUAUCCGGAGAAUCCAUCAAUGAAAGAAUACAAGAAUAUAAUUGUUAUCACAUACACCUCCACUUGAAGCACUGUGAACUCAUCUAUAUGAGGAAGGAAAAAAUUAUCCUUAUGGCACGUCUUGUUCAGGUCCCGAUAAUCCACAUAUAUUACCUUAUAGUCGACUACAUAAAAAAAAGCCGAGCUGGUCCGUACGGACGGACACAAGGGUACAAGAGCUGAAACAGGUUGAAAAAGUGCUAGAAGAAAAAGAAUUGUUGGAACAGCUAAAGAAAAAUAAAAAGAUGAGCUAUAUUUGAGAGUUGUUGAUGCACUCACUAAACCACAGUAAGGCUCUAAUAAAUUAUCAAAGCGGUAAUUGACAAAAUCACCGGGAUGAUCACUUUUUCAAACGAGAAUCUACCACUAGAGGUAAAAGGAAAGAAAACCUCAUGUAUGAUAGUGGAUGAUAUCCUUCACGCAUACUCCCUAAACUGGAGAUGAUUGUAAAAAACUUGAAGAGUGUCAAAAGACUGGUUUACUCUGCUAUGUUGUUUAUUGGAUCUGAUGUGGUUUCAUAUUUUUACAGGAGAUUUAGAUAGAGAUUCCAAGAAAAGUCCUUCCUUUUCUUUUUGUUUGUAACUGUGAAUUGAAUAUUAAAUAAAGAGAUUAAAUCAAGAAAAAGAAUGAAAAGUUCGAAUUCAAAGAAUGAUUCUGAACAAAGAAAGAAAC